CGGCGGUUAAACGAGACGAAGAAAGAGGAAAGAAGGGAGGGAAAGGAACUCUGGUUACCCGAAGAUGUCAGCACGUUGACUCGUGUUUCGCGGUGGCAGCGGCGGUGUACGCGAGAUCGGUGGUGGUUCCUACUAUCCCGCGAGUGGAGUGCAGUGUGUGGACUGUGGUGUAGUACGUUUGAGAAACGGAGCUGGUACACGUACGUACGCGAGGAGCUGUGGUGUGGUUGCGCGUUUUCGUCUCCUCCCGUGCCGCGGGGGCUGCCCUUCGCGAGAAUCCGCGUCACGCAUGGCACCGCUCCUCCGCCGUGCCUAAGACGCCUUUUUCCCGGAGACAGAGAGAGCGAGAUCGCGACCGGGGCCCAGCCUCUUCGCGUGCCUCGUCUCGUUUUGCCGUUUUUUUUUCUCUCUCUCUCGAACGCCGAGGUGAUCGCGAGUUUACAACCGAGCCGACAGAAUGACCAGCCAGGAGACGCGUGACCAAGGGAUCAGCAAUGUAGAGACCGAGUACCUCGAGAUCAACUCGAAAGAAGCCUGGCCGAUCCUCUAUCAGCAUAUACGUAACGAAUGCAGCAAUUUCACAUUCACAUGUAACGAAUCAAAGAAACCACAGAACAAAAAUUUGAAUCGUUAUAGAGAUGUUGCCCCUUAUGACCAUAGUAGAAUUGUCCUUAAAAGGGGGCCAUGUGAUUACAUUAAUGCCAACCUUAUAAGGGUAGAUCGUGCUCACAGACAAUACAUUCUUACCCAAGGACCAUUGGAAAAUACUGCUGGCCAUUUUUGGUUAAUGGUAUGGGAGCAAAAUUCUAAAGCAGUGUUAAUGUUAAAUAAAAUAAUUGAAAAGAAUCAAGUUAAGUGUUAUCAGUAUUGGCCUCUGGGUGAUCUGUUGGAUGAUACUAUGACAUUUCUGGAUGUUGGUAUAAAAGUAGAAUAUGUCAGGAAAACAGAUUCAUCGGAUUACACGACUAGAAUAUUAAAAUUAACAGAUUUGGAAUCGAAAGAAAGUAGAGAAAUACUACACUUUCACUAUACUACUUGGCCAGAUUUUGGAGUACCGCAGAGCCCAACAGCCUUUCUUCGUUUUCUGGCUGAUGUUAGGCAAUCGGGAGCAUUGGAUCAAAAUGUUGGGCCCCCGGUUGUUCAUUGUUCUGCUGGUAUUGGAAGAUCAGGAACAUUUUGCUUAGUAGACACCUGCCUUGUUUUGAUUGAAGAAAAUGGAUUGAAUUCUGUGAAUGUUAGAGACGUAUUGAUUGAAAUGAGAAGAUCCAGAAUGGGUUUAAUCCAGACGCCGGAUCAAUUGAGAUUUUCGUAUGCUGCUAUCAUCGAAGGAGCAAAACAAUUGCCAUCCAAUAACGUGAACAUUGAUAAUGAGAUAGUAACAAAUCAUUAUGAUAUAGUAAAUAAUAUUAGUCAUUCUUCGAUCGAAGAAGAAGACGAACCGCCUCCUUUGCCACCACCGAGAGGUGAGUCGUUAACGCGUAGUAUGAUGGCGGAUUUAACUUCAAAUGUAACGACGAAAAACGAUGAAUUAGGUGGACCUCCUGAUAAACCAUUGCCAAGGGAACCGCCGACUCACGUAGAAACAUCGAACAAUCCACCACGCGCAAACUCUACAGUGAUCACGAAUAAUUUACACGAAAACAAUUCCGACGAUGUUGCAGUGCCUAAUGAAACCAGAAGUGACGGUGAAAAUUCUUUGCAGACGAACAGCCCUCCGUCCAGUCCAAAUGCGAAAAACGAAGUACGUCAGCGCACUAAAGAAAAGAACGAACGUUUGACAGCAUGCGUACGGGAGAUCAAGCGUCGACAAAAGGAGACAGAAGAAUGGCAAAAGCUCAAGAGAUCUAAAAGCGAAACUACCGAAACCAGCGAAACCGUGCACGAGGAGGCCGAGCCGGCGAUCUAAAUGUACCGUAAAGAAACGAACCGAGAUCGCGAUUUAAGUGCCCUAAGAGACAUACAUAGACACACACACACAUACAUACAUACAUUCACGUACUCACAUAUAUACAGAGAGAAAGAGACAUACACGUUACAAAGAAUGACAAGCAGAGAGAGAGAGAGAGAGAGAGAGUGAGAGAGAGAGAGAAAGAGAGAGAGAGAGAGAGAGACGUUCGUUAUUUUCGAAACGUUUUAUACACCACGAGCUAAUGAAGCUAUUUAUUGAAGACCAUCCAUGAACAAAAGUACAUAAAUUGGAGGAAAUAAAUCGAUGUGUUUGGUACAACUCGAUCCUCGAUCCUUUGAUGCCGCGCGAGAAGACUUUUUUUUGGGCAUCCCGUGACGAUUCAUCCUAUCCCGUGAGCUUCGAUCUUCAUCCCUUAUUCGUCUUCUCUUGGAUACCAUGGUAUUAUAAUUACCCUUUCCUGUAUAGUCGGGACUGGUAGCGCG
rnacentral:misc_RNA from 1 species